rfam:Blautia sp. An46 An46_contig_6, whole genome shotgun sequence.
GGAUGGCUCUCUGGAGAAUCCCGUUAAGGGUGCCGAAGGUGUAAGCAGAUAAGGGUUUAUCUGUGAAUCUCUCAGGCAAAAGGACAGUGAGAUCAGG